CCGAGUUGACAACUCACCAACCCCUGUGAACAUACCUAUCGUUGCUUCGGCGGAUCCGCCCCGGGCGCCUCUGCGUGCCCGGAUCAGGCACCCGCCGGGGAUACCCAAACUCUUGUAUUUCUUAGUGGAUCUAUCUGAGUAGCUAGGCAACAAAUGAAUUA
rnacentral:misc_RNA from 1 species